GGGCCUUGUACACACCGCCCGUCAAGCCAUGGAAGCUGGGGGCGCCUGAAGUCGGUCACCGUAAGGAGCUGCCUAGGGCGAAACUAGUAACUGGGGCUAAGUCGUAACAAGGUAGCCGUACCGGAAGGUGUGGCUGGAUUACCUCCUU
rnacentral:rRNA from 1 species